rnacentral:rRNA from 1 species
AACGAACGCUGGCGGCAUGCCUAACACAUGCAAGUCGAACGAGACCUUCGGGUCUAGUGGCGCACGGGUGGCGUAACGCGUGGGAAUCUGCCCCUCGGUUCGGAACAACAGUUAGAAAUGACUGCUAAUACCGGAUAAUGACGAAAAGUCCAAAGAUUUAUCACCGAGGGAUGAGCCCGCGUAGGAUUAGCUUGUUGGUGGGGUAAUGGCCCACCAAGGCGACGAUCCUUAGCUGGUCUGAGAGGAUGAUCAGCCACACUGGGACUGAGACACGGCCCAGACUCCUACGGAGGCAGCAGUGGGGAAUAUUGGACAAUGGGCGGAAAGACCUGAUCCA